CCUACGGGAGGCUGCAGUGGGGAAUAUUGGACAAUGGGCGAAAGCCUGAUCCAGCCAUGCCGCGUGAGUGAUGAAGGCCUUAGGGUUGUAAAGCUCUUUUAUCAGGGAAGCGGUACCUGAAGAAUAAGCACCGGCUAACUUCGUGCCAGCAGCCGCGGUAAUACGAAGGGUGCUAGCGUUGUUCGGAAUUACUGGGCGUAAAGAGCGCGUAGGCGGUUAUACAAGUCAGAGGUGAAAUCCCAGAGCUUAACUCUGGAACUGCCUUUGAAACUGUAUAGCUGGAGUAUGUGAGGGGAUAGCGGAAUUCUUAAUGUAGAGGUGAAAUUCGUAGAUAUUAAGAGGAACACCGGUGGCGAAGGCGGCUAUCUGGCAAUACUGACGCUGAGGCGCGAAAGCGUGGGGAUCAAACAGGAUUAGAUACCCCGGUAGUC
rnacentral:rRNA from 1 species